rnacentral:rRNA from 1 species
GGAGUUUGGGCCGUGUCUCAGUCCCAAUGUGGCCGGUCACCCUCUCAGGUCGGCUACUGAUCGUCGCCUUGGUGAGCCGUUACCUCACCAACUAGCUAAUCAGACGCGGGUCCAUCUUGUACCGAAAAACUUUUCACACUAUAUCAUGCGAUAUCGUGCGCUUAUGCGGUAUUAGCAGUCGUUUCCAACUGUUGUCCCCCUGUACAAGGUAGGUUACCCACGCGUUACUCACCCGUCCGCCACUCAGUCAACAAAUCGUCACCCCGAAGGGAUCGUGAUAAGUUGCUUCGUUCGACUUGCAUGUGUUAAGCACGCCGCCAGCGUUCAUC